AUUGAACGCUGGCGGCAGGCCUAACACAUGCAAGUCGAACGAGUGGCGGACGGGUGAGUAAUGUCUGGGAAACUGCCCGAUGGAGGGGGAUAACUACUGGAAACGGUAGCUAAUACCGCAUACUAUCGGAUGUGCCCAGAUGGGAUUAGCUAGUAGGUGGGGUAAUGGCUCACCUAGGCGACGAUCCCUAGCUGGUCUGAGAGGAUGACCAGCCACACGGGAACUGAGACACGGUCCAGACUCCUACGGGAGGCAGCAGUGGGGAAUAUUGCACAAUGGGCGCAAGCCUGAUGCAGCCAUGCCGCGUGUAUGAAGAAGGCCUUCGGGUUGUAAAGUACUUUCAGCGGGGAGGCGUUACUCGCAGAAGAAGCACCGGCUAACUCCGUGCCAGCCGCCGCGGUAAUAC
rnacentral:rRNA from 1 species